UACGUAGGGUGCAAGCGUUAAUCGGAAUUACUGGGCGUAAAGCGUGCGCAGGCGGCUAUGCAAGACAGAUGUGAAAUCCCCGGGCUCAACCUGGGAACUGCAUUUGUGACUGCAAGGCUAGAGUACGGCAGAGGGGGAUGGAAUUCCGCGUGUAGCGGUGAAACGCGUAGAUAUGCGGAGGAACACCGAUGGCGAAGGCAGCCCCCUGGACCUGUACUGACGCUCAUGCACGAAAGCAUGGGGAGCAAACAGG
rnacentral:rRNA from 1 species